rnacentral:rRNA from 1 species
AAUAUUGGACAAUGGGCGCAAGCCUGAUCCAGCCAUGCCACGUGAGUGAUGAAGGCCUUAGGGUUGUAAAGCUCUUUCACCGAUGAAGAUAAUGACGGUAGUCGGAGAAGAAGCCCCGGCUAACUUCGUGCCAGCAGCCGCGGUAAUACGAAGGGGGCUAGCGUUGUUCGGAUUUACUGGGCGUAAAGCGCACGUAGGCGGAUUGGUCAGUUAGAGGUGAAAUCCCGAAGCUCAACUUCGGAACUGCCUUUAAUACUGCCAGUCUCGAGUCCGGAAGAGGUAAGUGGAACUCCUAGUGUAGAGGUGGAAUUCGUAGAUAUUGGGAGGAACACCAGUGGCGAAGGCGACUACCUGGACGAAAACUGACGCUGAUGCACGAAAGCUAGGGGAGCAAACA